UACGAGUACGGGGUGCGAAGUGAAAACGUGAAACGUGCCGCCUGGGAAGUACGGUCGCAAGGCUGAAACUUAAAGGAAUUGGCGGGGGAGCACCACAACGGGUGGAGCUGCGGUUUAAUUGGACUCAACGCCGGGCAGCUCACCGGAUAGGACAGCGGAAUGAUAGCCGGGCUGAAGACCUUGCUUGACCAGCUGAGAGGAGGUGCAUGGCCGUCGUCAGUUCGUACUGUGAAGCAUCCUGUUUAGUCAGGCAACGAGCGAGACCCACGCCAACAGUUGCUAGCAUGUUCUCCGGAAUGAUGAAAAAAACUGUUGAAAAAAGCCUCUGCUAAAGAGGAGGAAGGAAUGGGCAACGGUAGGUCAGCAUGCCCCGAAUUAUCCGGGCUACACGCGGGCUACAAUGGUCAGGACAGUGGGAAACGGCACUGAAAAGUGUAGUCAAUCUCCUAAACCUGUCCCAAGUUCGGAUUGUGGGCUGCAACUCGCCCACAUGAAGCUGGAAUCGGUAGUAAUCGCGUUUCAAAAUAGCGCGGUGAAUA
rnacentral:rRNA from 1 species